UUAGAAGCAGUUUUAGAAAACAUCAACUUUGGAAGUUGAAAAAUUGAGUAAGAUCAACUUUUAAA
rnacentral:tRNA from 1 species